GACGAACGCUGGCGGCGCGCCUAACACAUGCAAGUCGAACGAGCGAGAGAGAGCUUGCUUUCUCAAGCGAGUGGCGAACGGGUGAGUAACGCGUGAGGAACCUGCCUCAAAGAGGGGGACAACAGUUGGAAACGACUGCUAAUACCGCAUAAGCCCACGGCUCGGCAUCGAGCAGAGGGAAAAGGAGUGAUCCGCUUUGAGAUGGCCUCGCGUCCGAUUAGCUAGUUGGUGAGGUAACGGCCAACCAAGGCGACGAUCGGUAGCCGGACUGAGAGGUUGAACGGCCACAUUGGGACUGAGACACGGCCCAGACUCCUACGGGAGGCAGCAGUGGGGAAUAUUGCACAAUGGGGGAAACCCUGAUGCAGCGACGCCGCGUGGAGGAAGAAGGUCUUCGGAUUGUAAACUCCUGUUGUUGAGGAAGAUAAUGACGGUACUCAACAAGGAAGUGACGGCUAACUACGUGCCAGCAGCCGCGGUAAAACGUAGGUCACAAGCGUUGUCCGGAAUUACUGGGUGUAAAGGGAGCGCAGGCGGGAAAGCAAGUUGGAAGUGAAAUCCAUGGGCUCAACCCAUGAACUGCUUUCAAAACUGUUUUUCUUGAGUAGUGCAGAGGUAGGCGGAAUUCCCGGUGUAGCGGUGGAAUGCGUAGAUAUCGGGAGGAACACCAGUGGCGAAGGCGGCCUACUGGGCACCAACUGACGCUGAGGCUCGAAAGUGUGGGUAGCAAACAGG
rnacentral:rRNA from 1 species